rnacentral:rRNA from 1 species
GACGAACGCUGGCGGCGUGCUUAACACAUGCAAGUCGAACGGAAAGGCCCUGCUUUUGUGGGGUGCUCGAGUGGCGAACGGGUGAGUAACACGUGAGUAACCUGCCCUUGACUUUGGGAUAACUUCAGGAAACUGGGGCUAAUACCGGAUAGGAGCUCCUGCUGCAUGGUGGGGGUUGGAAAGUUUCGGCGGUUGGGGAUGGACUCGCGGCUUAUCAGCUUGUUGGUGGGGUAGUGGCUUACCAAGGCUUUGACGGGUAGCCGGCCUGAGAGGGUGACCGGCCACCUUGGGACUGAGAUACGGCCCAGACCCCUACGGGGGGCAGGAGGGGGGAAUAUUGCACCAUGGGCCGAAGCCUGAUGCAGGAACGCCGCGGUCGGGAUGACGGCCUUCGGGUUGUAAACCGCUUUCGCCUGUGACGAAGCGUGAGUGACGGUAAUGGGUAAAGAAGCACCGGCUAACUACGUG